GAUGAACGCUAGCUGGAGGCUUAAUACAUGCAAGUCGAGCGGGAUUGGUAGCAAUACCAUGAGAGCGGCGCACGGGUGAGUAACGCGUACACGACCUACCUCUGACAGGGGGAUAGCCCUGGGAAACUGGGAUUAAUACCGCAUAUUAUUCUGAUUAAUAAAGGAUUGGAAUGAAAGUUCAGGCGGUCAGAGAUGGGUGUGCGUCUGAUUAGCUAGUUGGUAGGGUAACGGCCUACCAAGGCGAUGAUCAGUAGGGGGCGUGAGAGCGUGGUCCCCCACACGGGUACUGAGACACGGACCCGACUCCUACGGGAGGCAGCAGUAAGGAAUAUUGGACAAUGGCCGAAAGGCUGAUCCAGCCAUCCAGCGUGCAGGAAGAAGGCCCUAUGGGUUGUAAACUGCUUUUAUCAGGGAAUAAACCUCUGGAUUCACUCCGGAGCUGAAGGUACCUGAAGAAUAAGCACCGGCUAACUCCGUGCCAGCAGCCGGGUAAA
rnacentral:rRNA from 1 species